rnacentral:rRNA from 1 species
AUUGAACGCUGGCGGAAUGCUUUACACAUGCAAGUCGAACGGUAACAGGUCUUCGGAUGCUGACGAGUGGCGAACGGGUGAGUAAUACAUCGGAACGUGCCCGAUCGUGGGGGAUAACGCAGCGAAAGCUGUGCUAAUACCGCAUACGAUCUAUGGAUGAAAGCGGGGGAUCGCAAGACCUCGCGCGGACGGAGCGGCCGAUGGCAGAUUAGGUAGUUGGUGGGGUAAAGGCCUACCAAGCCGACGAUCUGUAGCUGGUCUGAGAGGACGACCAGCCACACUGGGACUGAGACACGGCCCAGACUCCUACGGGAGGCAGCAGUGGGGAAUUUUGGACAAUGGGCGCAAGCCUGAUCCAGCCAUGCCGCGUGCAGGAUGAAGGCCUUCGGGUUGUAAACUGCUUUUGUACGGAACGAAAAGGUUUCUUUUAAUACAGGGAACUGAUGACGGUACCGUAAGAAUAAGCACCGGCUAACUACGUGCCAGCAGCCGCGGUAAGAC